GACGAACGCUGGCGGCGUGCUUAACACAUGCAAGUCGAACGGAAAGGCCCUGCUUUUGUGGGGUGCUCGAGUGGCGAACGGGUGAGUAACACGUGAGUAACCUGCCCUUGACUUUGGGAUAACUUCAGGAAACUGGGGCUAAUACCGGUUAGGAGCUCCUGCUGCAUGGUGGGGGUUGGAAAGUUUCGGCGGUUGGGGAUGGACUCGCGGCUUAUCAGCUUGUUGGUGGGGUAGUGGCUUACCAAGGCUUUGACGGGUAGCCGGCCUGAGAGGGUGACCGGCCACAUUGGGACUGAGAGACGGCCCAGACUCCUACGGGAGGCAGCAGUGGGGAAUAUUGCACAAUGGGCGGAAGCCUGAUGCAGCAACGCCGCGUGCGGGAUGACGGCCUUCGGGUUGUAAACCGCUUUCGCCUGUGACGAAGCGUGAGUGACGGUAAUGGGUAAAGAAGCACCGGCUAACUACG
rnacentral:rRNA from 1 species